CUGAAAUAAACAACGCUUACAGAAUCGCACGGCU
rnacentral:sRNA from 1 species